UUUGAUCCUGGCUCAGAACGAACGCUGGCGGCGUGCUUAACACAUGCAAGUCGAACGAGAAAGUUUCCUUCGGGAAGCGAGUAGAGUGGCGCACGGGUGAGUAACGCGUAGGUAAUCUAUCCUAAUAUUUGGGAUAACAUCGGGAAACUGGUGCUAAUACCGGAUACCCUUCAUUUCUGCCGGGUUAUGGAGGAAAGGUGGCCUCUUCAUGAAAGCUACCGUAUAAGGAUGAGCCUGCGUACCAUUAGCUAGUAGGUGGGGUAAUGGCCCACCUAGGCAACGAUGGUUAGCGGGUCUGAGAGGAUGAUCCGCCACACUGGAACUGGAACACGGACCAGACUCCUACGGGAGGCAGCAGUGAGGAAUAUUGCGCAAUGGGGGAAACCCUGACGCAGCGACGCCGCGUGAGUGAGGAAGGUUUUCGGAUCGUAAAGCUCUGUCAGAAGGGAAGAAGUGUUAUAUGGUUAAUACCCGUAUAAUUUGACGGUACCUUCAGAGGAAGCACCGGCUAACUCCGUGCCAGCAGCCGCGGUAAUACGGAGGGUGCAAGCGUUGUUCGGAAUUACUGGGCGUAAAGGGCGCGUAGGCGGCCUGCUAAGUCAGAUGUGAAAGUCCACGGCUCAACCGUGGAAGUGCAUUUGAAACUGUCAGGCUUGAGUAUCGGAGGGGAAAGUGGAAUUCCCGGUGUAGAGGUGAAAUUCGUAGAGAUCGGGAGGAACACCGGUGGCGAAGGCGACUUUCUGGACGAAUACUGACGCUGAGGCGCGAAAGCGUGGGGAGCAAACAGGAUUAGAUACCCUGGUAGUCCACGCCGUAAACGAUGUGAACUAGGGAUAGGGGGUGUUGAUCCCUCCUGUCCCGGAGCUAACGCAUUAAGUUCACCGCCUGGGGAGUACGGUCGCAAGAUUAAAACUCAAAGGAAUUGACGGG
rnacentral:rRNA from 1 species